UACAGAGGUCUCGAGCGUUGUUCGGAUUCAUUGGGCGUAAAGGGCGCGUAGGCGGCGGGGUAAGUCUGGUGUGAAAUCUCGGAGCUCAACUCCGAAAUUGCACUGGAUACUGCUCUGCUAGAGGGCUGGAGAGGAGAUCGGAAUUCACGGUGUAGCAGUGAAAUGCGUAGAUAUCGUGAGGAAGACCAGUGGCGAAGGCGGAUCUCUGGACAGCUCCUGACGCUCAGGCACGAAAGGCGUGGGGAGCAAACGAGG
rnacentral:rRNA from 1 species